rnacentral:rRNA from 1 species
ACGAACGCUGGCGGCGUGCUUAACACAUGCAAGUCGAACGGAAAGGCCCUGCUUGCAGGGUGCUCGAGUGGCGAACGGGUGAGUAACACGUGGGUGAUCUGCCCCUUACUUUGGGAUAAGCCUGGGAAACUGGGUCUAAUACUGGAUAGGACCAUGCUGUAGGUGGUGUGGUGGAAAGAUUAGUUUCGGUAAGGGAUGAGCUCGCGGCCUAUCAGCUUGUUGGUGGGGUAAUGGCCUACCAAGGCGUCGACGGGUAGCCGGCCUGAGAGGGUGGACGGCCACAUUGUGACUGAGAUACGGCCCAGACUCCUACGGGAGGCAGCAGUGGGGAAUAUUGCACAAUGGGCGCAAGCCUGAUGCAGCGACGCCGCGUGGGGGAUGACGGCCUUCGGGUUGUAAACUCCUUUCAGCCAUGACGAAGCCCUUGUGGUGACGGUAGUGGUAGAAGAAGCACCGGCUAACUACGUG